GUGCCUACGAGGCAGCAGUGGGGAAUAUUGCACAAUGGGGGAAACCCUGAUGCAGCGACGCCGCGUGAGUGAAGAAGUAUUUCGGUACGUAAAGCUCUAUCAGCAGGGAAGAAAAUGACGGUACCUGACUAAGAAGCCCCGGCUAACUACGUGCCAGCAGCCGCGGUAAUACGUAGGGGGCAAGCGUUAUCCGGAUUUACUGGGUGUAAAGGGAGCGUAGACGGCAGCGCAAGUCUGGAGUGAAAUGCCGGGGCUCAACCCCGGAACUGCUUUGGAAACUGUGCAGCUAGAGUGCGGGCGCGGUA
rnacentral:rRNA from 1 species